rnacentral:rRNA from 1 species
UACGGCCAUACCACCCUGAGAACGCCCGAUCUCGUCUGAUCUCGGAAGCUAAGCAGGGUCGGGCCUGGUUAGUACUCGGAUGGGAGACCGCCUGGGAAUACCAGGUGCUGUAAACU